UGGAUGGAGCUUCCCAUGCCUGGCGGUGACUCACUGUCUCCACAUUACACAUACCUAUUUAUACACAAACACACCACAAGUGUGCCCAUGUGACAUUGCCCACUCCCCACAUACCCAAACACACACACAGUCUAUACACCACACAUCCUGAGUUACAAAAGGCACAGCCCUCCUCAAACACGCAUCCAUCCUGUAGCACACACCCAGUGCAUGGCUCGCCCCCACACACACCUGACACCCCAAUGCAACACCACACCCACCCUCCCCUCCAACUGCAAACUCCCACCUCCGCCCACCUGCUUAAUACACGUUCUCACCCCCCCACACACUCCUUAAUACAUACUCUCACACCCACAAGCCUGCCUUCUUGGAGAAGCGAGCCAAGCCGUGCGGCGCCGCGAAGGGCAUCCCCGAAGACCAGGAGGAACGCCACGGGGACCUGUGGCUUAGCGCGCUCCGCCCGGGCUUGUCUGCCCGCGGGGGCGCAGCGGCUGCGGCGGUUCCGGCCGGAGUUACAAUCCAGCGCCACCCAACUCCCAGUCGGGGGCCGAGGCCAGCGCCGGGAUGCAUGGAGCCGGGGGAAAAGCCCGCGGCGGCCCCGGCGGAUCACAGACCCUAACGGGGCGGGAGGUGGCGCCCCAGCCCCAACCUCUGUAGCCAACCCAGUGGGUGGGAAGUGCCCAUACCCCAGGCCUUCCGGAAAGUGCUCUCUCCUUGUAUUAUUCUAAUUACGGUAUUUUUAAUUUCCUUAAAAAAAUAAGAAACAGAAAAGCACAGAA